AUCUUGGGUAACAGGAAGAAAAACCUGAGGUCAGCACAGUGGCUGUCAGCAAGCAGGAGUCGGGAAGAGGCUGAGUCCUGAAAGAAGAUGAACUCCCUGGGGGAGUGUGACGCUUGCCAGGUGGGGUGUUGGUGACACGGAGCAGAGCCAACUCCACGGAAGCUGCAGGAAUAUCUUGGGCGGAAAUUAGUGACCCCCAGAGUGGUCAGCAGUAGCUCUCUGGGAAUCCCUUGUGGGGACUGCCAGUCCUGGGCAGGCAGCCGGGUCCAGGCCUGCUGAGGCAGGCAUGAGGACACCAGGCUGUCCCCUCUCCCUGGAGCUCUGGGGUCCUGCCUCAUGCACUCUGCUCUCUCCCUCUGCCCAGCACUACCUGACAUGCUUCAGUGGUACCAUCGCCGUGCCCUUCCUGCUGGCUGAGGCGCUGUGUGUGGGCCACGACCAGCACAUGGUUAGUCAGCUCAUCGGCACCAUCUUCACGUGCGUGGGCAUCACCACUCUCAUCCAGACCACCCUGGGCAUCCGGCUGCCGCUGUUCCAGGCCAGUGCCUUUGCAUUUCUGGUUCCAGCCAAAGCCAUACUGGCU
rnacentral:sRNA from 1 species